rnacentral:rRNA from 1 species
UACGGAGGGUGCAAGCGUUAUCCGGAUUCACUGGGUUUAAAGGGUGCGUAGGUGGCUUUGUAAGUCAGUGGUGAAAUCUUAGAGCUUAACUCUAAAAACUGCCAUUGAUACUGCUUAGCUUGAAUCAAGUAGAGGUGGGAUGGAAUAUUACAUGUAGCGGUGAAAAUGCUUAGAUAUGUAAUAGAACACCGAUUGCGAAGGCAGUUCACUAUGCUUGUAUUGACACUGAGGCACGAAAGCGUGGGGGAUCAAACAGG